UGAGAGUUUGAUCCUGGCUCAGGACGAACGCUGGCGGCGUGCUUAAGACAUGCAAGUCGAGCGAGGGGAGCAAUCCCCUAGCGGCGGACGGGUGAGUAACACGUGGAUAACCUGCCUCAUCCUCUGGGAUAACAGGCCGAAAGGCCUGCUAAUACCGGGUAAGCUCACGGGGUCGCAUGGCCUUGGGAGAAGAGGCGCUUCACGGCGCUGGAUGAAGAGGGGUCCGCGGCCCAUUAGCUAGUUGGAGGGGUAACGGCCCACCAAGGCGACGAUGGGUAGCCGGCCUGAGAGGGCGACCGGCCACACUGGGACUGAGACACGGCCCAGACUCCUACGGGAGGCAGCAGUCGGGAAUUUUGCACAAUGGCCGAAAGGCUGAUGCAGCAACGCCGCGUGAGUGAAGAAGGCCUUCGGGUUGUAAAGCUCUGUUGACCGGGAAGAACGGCGCAGAUAGGAAAUGAUCUGCGUUUGACGGUACCGGUAGAGGAAGCCCCGGCUAACUACGUGCCAGCAGCCGCGGUAAUACGUAGGGGGCGAGCGUUGUCCGGAUUUAUUGGGCGUAAAGGGCGUGUAGGCGGCUUUGUAAGUCGGGGGUGAAAACCCAGAGCUCAACUCUGGGACUGCCUCCGAUACUGCGAAGCUUGAGUGCUCUAGAGGGCAGUGGAAUUCCCGGUGUAGCAGUGAAAUGCGUAGAGAUCGGGAGGAACACCAGUGGCGAAGGCGACUGCCUGGGGAGUAACUGACGCUGAGGCGCGAAAGCUGGGGGAGCAAACGGGAUUAGAUACCCCGGUAGUCCCAGCCGUAAACGAUGAGUGCUAGGUGUGAGGGGUAUCGACCCCCCUCGUGCCGGAGUUAACGCAAUAAGCACUCCGCCUGGGGAGUACGGCCGCAAGGUUGAAACUCAAAGGAAUUGACGGGGCCCGCACAAGCAGCGGAGCAUGUGGUUUAAUUCGAAGCAACGCGUAGAACCUUACCAGGGCUUGACAUGUGCGGAAGUCUGCAGAGAUGCGGAUGUGCUCUUCGGUGAUCGCAAACACAGGUGAUGCAUGAUUGUCGUCAGCUCGUGUCGUGAGAUGUUGGGUUAAGUCCCGCAACGAGCGCA
rnacentral:rRNA from 1 species